rnacentral:snoRNA from 1 species
UGCGUCAGCAACACGAUUUGCGUCACGGCAUGUACUCAGAUGUUGCUGUUAAUUGAUCGGUUUUGGGUGCUCAUCGUCCG